UACGGAGGGUGCGAGCGUUGUCCGGAAUCACUGGGCGUAAAGGGCGCGUAGGCGGCCUGAUAAGGUAGGGGGUGAAAUCCUGCGGCUUAACCGCCAGGGCUGCCUUCUAAACUGUCAGGCUCGAGCACAGUAGAGGCAGGUGGAAUUCUCGGGUGUAGCGGUGAAAUGCGUAGAUAGUCGAGAGGAACACCUGCGGCGAAGGCGGGUUGCUGGGCUGACACUGACGCUGAAGCGCGAAAGCUAGGGGAGCGAACGGGAUUAGAA
rnacentral:rRNA from 1 species